rnacentral:rRNA from 1 species
UACAGAGGGUGCGAGCGUUAUUCGGAAUUACUGGGCGUAAAGCGCGCGUAGGCGGCUUUGCAAGUCGGGUGUGAAAUCCCCAGGCUUAACCUGGGAACUGCAUUCGAGACUGCAUUGCUAGAGUAUGGGAGAGGGAAGUGGAAUUUCCGGUGUAGCGGUGAAAUGCGUAGAUAUCGGAAGGAACAUCAGUGGCGAAAGCGACUUCCUGGACCAAUACUGACGCUCAUGUGCGAAGGCGUGGGGAGCAAACAGG